GUAGGGAAUCUUCCACAAUGGACGAAAGUCUGAUGGAGCAACGCCGCGUGAGUGAAGAAGGGUUUCGGCUCGUAAAGCUCUGUUGGUAGUGAAAGAAAGAUAGAGGUAGUAACUGGCCUUUUAUUUGACGGUAAUUACUUAGAAAGUCACGGCUAACUACGUGCC
rnacentral:rRNA from 1 species